UCCCCGCAUCCCAGCGCUGGCUCUCCUCUUCCCGGGAGAGCGGAGCCAUGGAGCACAACGUGUGCUGACCCUCUGCCCGGCUGGGCCCACGAGGCUUCUCUUGUCACAGCAAGCACUCGGCGCUGGAACGCGGUGGAGGAGUCACUCAAAGGGUCGUCACUAGUUCCCAAAUGCCCCUUUGGGAGGCCUGGCCCGUGAAGGAGUGGGCACCAGCUCCAGGCUGGGCGAUGGUAUUUGGAGUUCCCUUGAAACAGCUUAUAAUAAUUGUGGAACUCCCUGGGAAGUGGAACUGGCAGCUGGGAAGUCUGAGCCGUCCACCUAUGCUAUCCAGGCAGGACGAUGGAGAAAUUCCCAGUUCUUCAUUACUGUUUCUUAUGACAGAGGACCCAACCUCUAAAACACGGCUAUCAUCAAAUGGACAGCAGUGCUGCUGUCAGAGGGUCUAACUAGGGAUGAACGUCCAUGGUGCAUGGCUCAAGUACCAGUAUGUGCCACAGGAAAUUAGGAAAUUUCCUGAGCAAUCACAGACUGCACAUGCAGGCUUAACUUGUCUCUGGUAGUUUUGAUCAGAUGGUUAUGUAGAUACCCUUCAUUCUACCACACCUGACUGGAGAGUUCUGAGUGAAUAAGGAAGAAAAGUAACAAUUACCUGGAAACAAUUCUUUCAAAGUGGAAUGGAAAUGAAUGGGGCAAAAGAGGAGGGAAUGAUACCUCUGAUACACUUGAGGUUGCAAAGGACAAGAGUAGGUUCUGGUGGAAAUGUCCUGGUGGAAUUGUCAAGAGCCUCCAAACUGUCUGUCCAUAAACCGAGUGGUCCAUAAACCACACUGAACUCAUUUUCAUUUGGUUUCACUCUUUUGCCCCACAAGCGAAUGUGGCCAUGAAUAAUGCAGUUUACUUCAGUGCUGUCACUGCAGCAUGGGGUUAAUAUAUACAUAAUCGUAAGGUGGUAUAGAGCUAAAUACAUACAGUUCCAGCUGGAUGUCUAAUGCUGUAAAGCCAAAAGAGCACAUCACAUAAUCUAGUCUGACUUCAACCAGAUGGCUGCUCAUUGUAAAUUAAUGGCUGAUUCAGGAAAUAAGCCUGAAAGGGACCCUCUGUACCUUCUAAUGUAAACCUUUGCUGUCACAUUCAACUCAAGCAACUAAAUAAAGAAGAAUUAAUC